rnacentral:rRNA from 1 species
GACGAACGCUGGCGGCGUGCCUAACACAUGCAAGUCGAACGAGUGGCGAACGGGUGAGUAAUGUAUGGGGACUGCCCGAUAGCGGGGGAUAACUACUGGAAACGGUAGCUAAAACCGCAUACUAUCGGAUAACCCAUAUGGGAUUAGCUAGUUGGUGAGGUAAUGGCGAACCAAGGCGACGAACCCUAGCUGGUCUGAGAGGAUGAUCAGCCACACUGGAACUGAGACACGGCCCAGACUCCUACGGAGGCAGCAGUGGGGAAUAUUGCACAAUGGGCGCAAGCCUGAUGCAGCCAUGCCGCGUGUAUGAAGAAGGCCCUAGGGUUGUAAAGGACUUUCAGUCGGGAGGCGUUACCGACAGAAGAAGCACCGGAUAACUCCGUGCCAGCAGCCGCGGUAAUAC